AAAACAUGCAAGUCGAGCGGACGGAUGGGAGCUUGCUCCCUGAAGUCAGCGGCGGACGGGUGAGUAACACGUGGGCAACCUGCCUGUAAGACUGGGAUAACUCCGGGAAACCGGGGCUAAUACCGGAUAACUCUUUUCCUCACAUGAGGAAAAGCUGAAAGAUGGUUUCGGCUAUCACUUACAGAUGGGCCCGCGGCGCAUUAGCUAGUUGGUGAGGUAACGGCUCACCAAGGCCACGAUGCGUAGCCGACCUGAGAGGGUGAUCGGCCACACUGGGACUGAGACACGGCCCAGACUCCUACGGGAGGCAGCAGUAGGGAAUCUUCCGCAAUGGACGAAAGUCUGACGGAGCAACGCCGCGUGAGUGAUGAAGGUUUUCGGAUCGUAAAACUCUGUUGUCAGGGAAGAACAAGUACCGGAGUAACUGCCGGUACCUUGACGGUACCUGACCAGAAAGCCACGGCUAACUACGUGCCAGCAGCCGCGGUAAUACGUAGGUGGCAAGCGUUGUCCGGAAUUAUUGGGCGUAAAGCGCGCGCAGGCGGUUCCUUAAGUCUGAUGUGAAAGCCCCCGGCUCAACCGGGGAGGGUCAUUGGAAACUGGGGAACUUGAGUGCAGAAGAGAAGAGUGGAAUUCCACGUGUAGCGGUGAAAUGCGUAGAGAUGUGGAGGAACACCAGUGGCGAAAGGCGACUCUUUGGUCUGUAACUGACGCUGAGGCGCGAAAAGCGUGGGGAGCAAACCGGAUUAGAUACCGCGGGUAGUCCACGCCGUAAACAAUGAGUGCUAAGUGUUAGAAGGGUUUCCGCCCUUUAGUGCUGCAGCAUACGCCAUUAAGCACUCCCGCCUGGGGGAGUACGGGCCGCAGGGCUGAAACUCAAAGGAAUUGGACGGGGGGCCCGCACAAAGCUGUGGAACCAAGGUGGUUUUAAUUUCAAAACCACCGCGAAAAAACCUUACCGGGGCUUGGAAUCCCCCGCAAACCCUGGAAUU
rnacentral:rRNA from 1 species